GAUUGAACGCUAGCGGGAUGCCUUACACAUGCAAGUCGAACGGCAGCGGGAAGAAAGCUUGCUUUCUUUGCCGGCGAGUGGCGAACGGGUGAGUAAUGUAUCGGAACGUGCCCAGUAGCGGGGGAUAACUGGCCGAAAGGUCAGCUAAUACCGCAUACGCCCUACGGGGGAAAGGGGGGGAUUCUUCGGAACCUCUCACUAUUGGAGCGGCCGAUAUCGGAUUAGCUAGUUGGUGGGGUAAUGGCCUACCAAGGCGACGAUCCGUAGCUGGUUUGAGAGGACGACCAGCCACACUGGGACUGAGACACGGCCCAGACUCCUACGGGAGGCAGCAGUGGGGAAUUUUGGACAAUGGGGGAAACCCUGAUCCAGCCAUCCCGCGUGUGCGAUGAAGGCCUUCGGGUUGUAAAGCACUUUUGUCAGGGAAGAAAAGGUUCUGGCUAAUACCCGGAACUGAUGACGGUACCUGAAGAAUAAGCACCGGCUAACUACGUGCCAGCAGCCGCGGUAAUACGUAGGGUGCAAGCGUUAAUCGGAAUUACUGGGCGUAAAGCGUGCGCAGGCGGUUCGGAAAGAAGGAUGUGAAAUCCCAGGGCUCAACCUUGGAACUGCAUUCUUAACUACCGAACUAGAGUAUGUCAGAGGGGGGUAGAAUUCCGCGUGUAGCAGUGAAAUGCGUAGAUAUGCGGAGGAAUACCGAUGGCGAAGGCAGCCCCCU
rnacentral:rRNA from 1 species